rnacentral:rRNA from 1 species
GAUGAACGCUAGCGAUAGGCUUAACACAUGCAAGUCGAGGGGCAGCAUGGUCUUAGCUUGCUAAGACUGAUGGCGACCGGCGCACGGGUGCGUAACGCGUAUGCAACUUGCCUCACAGAGGGGGAUAACCCGUCGAAAGACGGACUAAUACCGCGUACACUUGGGAUAGGGCAUCCUGACCCAAGGAAAUGAAAUUCGCUGUGAGGUAGGCAUGCGUCCCAUUAGCUAGUUGGUGAGGUAACGGCUCACCAAGGCGACGAUGGGUAGGGGAACUGAGAGGUUGAACCCCCACACUGGUACUGAGACACGGACCAGACUCCUACGGGAGGCAGCAGUGAGGAAUAUUGGUCAAUGGGCGAGAGCCUGAACCAGCCAAGUCGCGUGAAGGAAGACUGUCUUAUGGAUUGUAAAUUUCUUUUAUACGGGAAUAACAAGAGCCACGUGUGGCUCCCUGCAUGUACCGGAUGAAUAAGCAUCGGCUAACUCCGUG